rnacentral:antisense_RNA from 1 species
AUUUCGUUUGUUAAAUUUUCGACAGCUAAACAAAAACUAUUCGG